UAGCCAGUUUUUAUAAAUGAUUAUCAUCAUGGUCAUAGACAUGUCUGGUGAAUCUAAGCCAUCGUAAGUGUGAUCAAUAAAAAUCAGAUCUUUUCUUUCCGUCUCUUUGUUAUAAUUUUUGUGGUCAUAGACAUUUGCAUUGACACUUUGUGUCCGAUGUGGUGUAUAACCACAGCGGUAUUUCUGGAGGGGUUUCCUCGAGUCCAAAAUUCGAAUCAAAGAUUCAUGAAUUCAUAGAAAAGGUUCCAGCACAUGGUUGAUGCUUGUGGUGUGAACAAAUCACUGAAGAAUGUGGCUUUAAAGAAGGUGAUAACGUGAUCAUAGAAUAGCUAGAGUUGGUGUGGCAUGACUCAACCAAUGGCUCGAUCAAGACUAUGACACUCAGAUAGAUGGCCUCAAUGGAAAUGAACCAUCUUAGUUCUCUUGUGGAGUGUUUCUUAUACCGACCCUAAAAGUGAAUCAGGUGUCUUUUCCAGUCAAUGAUUACCCAACAAGUUUCAGAUCACUGAAUCAAUUUCUAUAUAUGUUUUUCGUACAAAAAUGAAUUUAUGCCUAAAUAGAACA